UACGUAGGGUGCGGGCGUUAAUCGGAAUUACUGGGCGUAAAGCGUGCGCAGGCGGUUCGUUAAGUCAGAUGUGAAAGCCCCGGGCUCAACCUGGGAACUGCAUUUGAAACUGGCGGGCUUGAGUGUGGCAGAGGGGGGUGGAAUUCCGCGUGUAGCAGUGAAAUGCGUAGAGAUGCGGAGGAACACCGAUGGCGAAGGCAGCCCCCUGGGCCAACACUGACGCUCAGGCACGAAAGCGUGGGGAGCAAACAGG
rnacentral:rRNA from 1 species